GAUGAACGCUGGCGGCGUGCCUAAUACAUGCAAGUCGAGCGAACGGACGAGAAGCUUGCUUCUCUGAAGUUAGCGGCGGACGGGUGAGUAACACGUGGAUAACCUACCUAUAAGACUGGGAUAACUUCGGGAAACCGGAGCUAAUACCGGAUAAUAUUUUGAACCGCAUGGUUCAAAAGUGAAAGACGGUCUUGCUGUCACUUAUAGAUGGAUCCGCGCUGCAUUAGCUAGUUGGUAAGGUAACGGCUUACCAAGGCAACGAUGCAUAGCCGACCUGAGAGGGUGAUCGGCCACACUGGAACUGAGACACGGUCCAGACUCCUACGGGAGGCAGCAGUAGGGAAUCUUCCGCAAUGGGCGAAAGCCUGACGGAGCAACGCCGCGUGAGUGAUGAAGGUCUUCGGAUCGUAAAACUCUGUUAUUAGGGAAGAACAUAUGUGUAAGUAACUGUGCACAUCUUGACGGUACCUAAUCAGAAAGCCACGGCUAACUACGU
rnacentral:rRNA from 1 species